GUGCGGCAAUAUAUACUAAACAGUUUGAAAUUGUAGGAUAAUAUUGGCCAGAUAAAGCAGUUGUAGCCACACUAAAAUGUUCUAAAAAAUCUAAAAAAAUCUUAACGUUAUUCCAAUCUUGAUUAGUUAGCAUAUCAUUAUCUUCAUCCUCACAAUUCCUAGAAUUUUGAGUAGCGGUUAUUGGGUUUCUAUAUUCGUACGCCACUACUAAUCUUUCAUACAUGUAGUUCCACCUAGUCGGACAAGGUUUAGGAACCUUUCUUUCUCUAAGGCCANNN
rnacentral:lncRNA from 1 species